rnacentral:lncRNA from 1 species
UGGAACGAGAAUGAGCACUAACUUUUGUGGUUGCAAUUGAGGCUGCCAUUUUUAUUUGCAGGAGGAAUUAGAUGCCAAUGAAAAUCCUGAACUCAAGGUUUGUUUGAUUGAACUCUCACCUUGGCACCUUUUUAUAAACUAUGAGGAGACAAAAGGAAUCAACCUAAUUUCCUUCAUGUGCUGAACAGAGAAACAGGCCAAGUAUCAGAAAAUGCAGAUCUCAAUUGUAGCAGUGUCUGUGGGAGGAGGAACAUUUGCUUGGCACAAAAUAAUAUAAUAUGCAAGAAACCAGGCUGGCGUUCAUCUGCAAAUUUUGG